ensembl:snRNA U6 U6 spliceosomal RNA
GUGCUCACUUUGGCAGCACAUACACUAAAAUUAGAAAGAUGCGGAGAGGAUUAGCAUGCCCCCUGCACAAGGAUGACAUGCAAAUUCAUGAAGUGUUCCAUAUUUUU